GACUUUGCAAUCAUCGUGUUCAGACUUCUCCUUUGAAAGCUGAGGAAACAGAUGGAUAUGGAUGAGAUGAGCUCAUGGUCAGGGCCAAGUGCAGCCCAUGAAGCACAGUGAGGACUCCCUGGCGGGGACAGCGUGCCAGGCAUUGGGCGGGCCGCAGAGCUGAGGAGGGUGGCCUGCUCUGAAGGAGCUCCCAGUACCAGACUGCUGUCGAGAGGGGUGGACAAGGGGGUCUGGGGUGAGAGGCCAAGUUCCCAUUUCAGACGUACUAUAGAGUGAUUCAACCAUUCUGGAUAUUACGCAGCAUCGAACAUGAUGGGAUGAUGAGUAUGAUAAUUUUGAUUAACUGAUUGAUUGAAGAAGAAACCCGCGAAGGCAAAAACGCCAGGGCCCAUGAAAGUCACAACAGGGCCCUGCCAGCCUUGCAUGGAGCCCACAUGGGGCUCUGGGCCUCCUAGUUUCACUUCUCUUCUCAGCGGUCUUCUCAGCAUGGACAGGAGAGAAAUGGCAGGGUCACACCCUGUUCCUGGAGCACUUCUAUCAGGACAGCUGCUUAUCUCCUCGGAGCACUCUCUUCCUCACUAGCAUCAAGGCGAGAUGAAACGCAACCAUCCUAAUCUGGAAUAAGAGUUCAGCUGGUAUUAGUUCUCUUUUCCAACUGCCUCCUAGUUGCAGAAGUGGCCAGAAGCCGUAUCUGAAAUACAGAUUACGCAGGAAAGUAGCAUGUAAAAGUCAUAACCAAAUGACUUGAUCAGAGCCACCCAAAUAAAAAGGUAUUUUAUUUUCAGGCAACACUGAACUCAUGCCCUGAAUUGUUGCCUAUAAUCUUUUGAAAUGUAUGUGGGGUCCUGGUUUAGGAUUGAGUCACUGGGUCUAGAAACAGAGUGCUUGGGUUGGAACUUGGUUCAAUC